GACCUUAUUGUUUACGAUCUCUUUAUUACGAUCUAAUAAUUAUUUCUAUUUUGUGAUCAUCUUAGUAAUAAAGUGUGUGUAUUUAUCCUCAGCAUGUGGUGUUUUUUGUCCUGCGUGUCAUCGACUGGAUGGUUCCAGAAAUCCCUGAGUCCUUGGAGCUGAAGAUCAAGCGGGAGCGUUACCUGGCUAAGCAGGCGCUGGCUGAUAAACAGGAGGCCCUGCGGCAAGCAAAGCGCCUCCCUACAUGAGACUGACCUGCAGGGCAGGGGCUUCUCCAGAAGGGGGCUUAGUCACUAAGAAAAUGCAAAAGUGAUCCCAAAAAGACUUGUUUUGAAAAAAAAGAAAAAAAAGAAAUUGGACUGAAACUGGGCUUGGUUCUGUGGUGUUUGAUUGAGCGGAUGUGCAUGUGUUUGUGAGCAUGCAUUUCAAAAUGUAGAGGUCCAUGCCAAAACUUCUAGAUUACCACCUCUUGAACAAACUUGAACUUGAACAAACAGCUGUUUGCAUACUGUAUGAUUUCCUCUGGCUCCAUCUAUACUAAGACAUGUGAUCAACUACACAUCUCACUCUUUCUGCCCUUCUGGUAAAUUAUAUAUGCCUAUUCGGAUUUAGUGGGAGGGCAGGGAGAUUUGCUUUUCUACAUGAUUACUAAAGUAUAUAUUUGUACUAAUGACAAAAUGAAAAUUGUGAAAGAAAUCAAGAAGCUUAUUCUACAUUGUGUUAGUCUGAAAUGCUUCUCUGAAUAAUACCUUAAUAUAUUUGCAUUUGUCAUGUUUAUCUCUGCGCUGUUUAAGGAAUUAUGUUUUAAAAUAAAGCUAGUUUCAGUAACUGUUGGAAAA